GGAAAGGGCGGAGUUACAGACAGGCAGAGGAGUCGCGGUAUGUUUGUACUGCGGAAAGUUUCCAUCUGAAAUUCUGCGAUAUUCACAACGACUCGACAGUUAAAAUAGCUUUUAAGCAUCACCAGCACCUGUAGUGUUCAGAAGAGACGAGCGGCUCUCAUCCCUCCUCUGAUUGGACAGCAGGGAGUCAGAGUCUCUGGACGUCAUGGUAACAGCAUCCCGGCGGUCAUGGAUGUGAGUGAUGAGUUUGACAGCGAUAUGGAGCCCAGGGAUGACCUCGCGUCGUUUGAGAUGGUCAAUCCGUCGAGCUCGGGCCUGCUGGAUCCCAGCGCAGACGUCCACGGACACAUCCAGGAGUCGAAAGACAAGGCCAAACUCAAAACCAAACUCCUUUCAGUGUGGAAUAAUGCUGGUCUCUGAAGGGCAAGCCUUGUCUCAGUAAGAGCAGUCCCGUGUGUCUGCUGGGACAGUCCUAUCGGCUGAGCUACACCGGUAAGCAGGACAGGACGUGAGGAGUCGCUGGGUAUCCUG